UGUCCUAUAUCAGACUCCUCCACUUGAAAAGAACUUGCCUCGAGUACAUCUUGAAAAGAACUAGGGUUGAUAUAAAUCUUGAUGAGUAAAUAAAUUCUUCAAUCCAAGGAACCCAAUAUUCUUGGCAUUUAGUUGGAGUCACAAAUGAACUAAUACCAUACAAAAGAUUAUAAUAUACAACUUCAUAAUCUAACCCCUUCUUGGUUGAAUCUUCUUGCACUCCAAAUAUACUUCUUUUCUUGCAAUUUUAUUCCACAUCAACUUUGUCUCCUACAACCAUGUCAAUCAUACUAUUUUCAGAUUGAACCAUACCUUGAUUUUCAUGGAUGCAUUCUUGGGGAAUUUCAACUUACAUGAUCUUGUUGUCAUCGAUAUUGAUAAGAUCAACUUCUUUUUCUUCAAUUUCUUCUUCCAUCUUUUCUUGGCAUGUGGGACCAUCAGAUAAUUUUUCUUCCACUACUUUUUUUUUUUUUGAAAAUAACAUUUUUAGUUUUUAAAAGAUACAAAUCAUAUUCAAAUAAGAACCAUACCUUAACAAUAACUCUCUUCAUCCUAUGCCAAGAUCGGAUAUGAUUCUUUCUUCUUUCUUUCGUGGCUUUUGCAAACUAUCCCACCAAAAAACAAUAUUUCCCUUUAAAUGAAGAGCAGCUAUCUUGACUAUUUUUUCCACUGGAAUAGUAAUUUAGUCGAAGAAUUGCUCUACACUUGCAACCCAAUUUAGAAAAUCUUCAAUGCAUUCGCCAACCUCAAAAUAAGGAAUCUUUUGAAUAUCAAGUUGAUGAUUCUGGCUUGAGGCAAAUCCUCCAGCAUAUUCCCCAUCAACAAAAGACUUUUUGCAACCACCAUAGAAGAUAUUUGGUGUGCCACAAAUAGCCUUCCUCUCACAAUCAACACUGAAGAGAGGUUUGUUUCUAUGAUCGCUUGCCAUUAGAACAGGGCAAAUCCCUGCUCUAAUACCAAUUGACACAGCAUGAAAUGAUGAAAGGGUUACCAGCGUAAUCCCUUAUGGACCAAAGCCUGGAGUCUACUAGAAAGUUGAGAAAAUCCUAAAGAAUAGUUUGAUAAUUG
rnacentral:lncRNA from 1 species